rnacentral:rRNA from 1 species
AUUGAACGCUGGCGGCAGGCCUAACACAUGCAAGUCGAGCGACCGACGGACGGGUGAGUAAUGGAUGGGGGUCUGCCCGAUAGAGGGGGAUACCUACAGGAAACGGUGGCUACUCCCGCAUCCUGUCGGAUGAACCCAUAGGGGAUUAGCUAGUAGGUAAGGUAAUGGCUUACCUAGGGGACGAGACCUAGCUGGUCUGGGAGGAUGAUCAGCCACACUGGGACUGAGACACGGCCCAGACUCCUACGGGAGGCAGCAGUGGGGAAUAUUGCACAAUGGGCGCAAGCCUGAUGCAGCCAUGCCGCGUGUGUGAAGAAGGCCCUAGGGUUGUAAAGUACUUUCAGUCGGGAGGCGUUACCGACAGAAGAAGCACCGGCUAACUCCGUGCCAGCAGCCGCGGUAAUUC